rnacentral:rRNA from 1 species
UACGUAGGGGCUAGCGUUGUCCGGAAUCAUUGGGCGUAAAGCGCGCGUAGGCGGUCAGGUAAGUCCGGUGUGAAAGUCAAAGGCUCAACCUUUGAAUGCCGCUGGAAACUGCCUGACUUGAGUCCGGGAGGGCGAGUGGAAUUCCCGGUGUAGAGGUGAAAUUCGUAGAUAUCGGGAGGACACCGGUGGCGAAGGCGGCGAACCUGGGUAGAUACGUGACGCUGAGGCG